CCUGGCGACCAUAGCCAUUUGGAACCACCUGAUCCCAUCCCGAACUCAGAAGUGAAACAAAUGCGCGCCGAUGAUAGUGUGGGGUUUCCCCAUGUGAAAGUAGGUCAUUGCCAGGU
rnacentral:rRNA from 1 species